rnacentral:rRNA from 1 species
UACGUAGGGAGCAAGCGUUGUUCGGAUUUACUGGGCGUAAAGGGCGCGUAGGCGGCGCGGUAAGUCACUUGUGAAAUCUCUGAGCUUAACUCAGAACGGCCAAGUGAUACUGCAGUGCUAGAGUGCAGAAGGGGCAAUCGGAAUUCUUGGUGUAGCGGUGAAAUGCGUAGAUAUCGGGAGGAACACCGGUGGCGAAGGCGGUUCUCUGGGCCUGUACUGACGCUGAGGAGCGAAAGCGUGGGGAGCGAACAGG